rnacentral:ncRNA from 1 species
AGUAGAAUAUUGUGCGUUAAGUGCCGGUAGGACGCGGGGUGCCUACGGACGAAGAGUUUUUGACUUGCGAUGCGAUAUUC